AUGGACUACCCGGUGAUACAAUAUGCGGACAAUACAAUUUUGGCCAUGCAUGCAUGCCCUCGUCAAGCAGCUAUCGUAAAAGAGAUCCUCACGGACUACGCGUCCUCCAUCGGCCUCCGGAUCAACUUCCAUAAAUCCACGCUCAUCCCGAUCAAUCUCUCCCAGGAAUCAGCCCUUGCCCUCGCACGUUUAUUUGGCUGUUCGGUUGGGUCUCUGCCUUUCACCUACCUUGGACUACCCCUUGGCACGACCAAGCCCACCGUCCUGGACCUUAUGCCACUUGUUUGCAGUGCAGAACGCCGUCUUACAUCAACGAUCUCCAUGAUGUCCUACGGGGGUAAACUCUCUUGGCUUAAUGCAACUGUCGCGUCCCUCCUCAUCUAUGCCAUGUGCACACUCAAAUUUCCCCCAAAACUGGUUGAGAUGCUUGAUAAAAUCCGAAGAUGCCUUUGGACCAAGAAAACUGAGCAGGGUGACAAAUGCAACUCUCUUGCGGCCUGGGAUAUGGUUUGCAAGCCCAAAAGGCAUGGAGGACUUGGGUUAUUAACAUCGAAAUACAGAAUGAUGCACUGCUUAUGA
rnacentral:rRNA from 1 species